rnacentral:rRNA from 1 species
GACGAACGCUGGCGGCGUGCCUAAUACAUGCAAGUCGAACGAACCGCGACUGAGUGCUUGCACUUGGUCAAGGUGAGUGGCGAACGGGUGAGUAACACGUGGGUAACCUACCUCAUAGUGGGGGAUAACAGUCGGAAACGACUGCUAAUACCGCAUAGGACAUAGGAUCACAUGAUCCAGUGAGGAAAGUUGGCGCAAGCUAUCGCUAAGAGAUGGACCCGCGGUGCAUUAGCUAGUUGGUAGGGUAAAGGCCUACCAAGGCGAUGAUGCAUAGCCGACCUGAGAGGGUGAUGGGCCACAUUGGGACUGAGAGACGGCACAAACUCCUACGGGAGGCAGCAGUAGGGAAUCUUCCGCAAUGGACGCAAGUCUGACGGAGCAACGCCGCGUGAGUGAAGAAGGUCUUCGGAUCGUAAAGCUCUGUUGUUAGAGAAGAACAGCGCAUAGAGUAACUGCUAUGCGUGUGACGGUAUCUAACCAGAAAGCCACGGCUAACUACGUG